UAAAAGUACCACGCGGAUAAAGAUCCGAAGUAACAGCAGUUAGAGGAAUGGGAAACCCAGGGAUCCUUCCAAGCUAAACACCAUCAAAGAAAGUGAGUCAGUACAGGUAAUCAGAAUGAAACCUCCAGGGGGUAUCCCACAAAUAAAGUGGAAAACCACGCAAGUUAUCCCUGCAAAAGUCAUGUGAGCCCUCACAAAAAC
rnacentral:lncRNA from 1 species